CGCUGUCUGUGAGCACGCUCCUGGGGACCUCUGGCCUUGUGAGAAACAUCAGGCAACUGUGUGGAGGAAUAAGCCGCUUCAGCCUUCCACAGCCAGAUGUUUUGCACUAAAGUCCCAUCAGCCUCCUUUGAGUGUAGCCUCCUGACCACAGCCGUCUCUUCUCUCUGCCCAAUUCCUCUCCUCCUCCUCUCCCUUUUUCUCCUCUUGCUCUCAUUCAUUUGGACCGGUCAGGGACAGAGUUGUUCCCUGCAGCAGUGAAUGCUAUGAGGAACCCAGAGUGGCAGAGUGAGAACAUCUCCAGUCUAUGAUGUCCUCACAGGAAGCCCAUUCAGACUCUCAAGACCUGGUAGGACUAUACCGAGACAUUGGCAUAGGCCAAUCCAGACUAUAUUUGACAAGGACAGCGUACCUUGUCCUGAAGAAUUUCCUUACCCUUGAUUUUUGAGAGUUUGUAUUUUACAACAUGCAGCACAACAACGAGCUCUGUGUAACCUGAAUGCUCCCAUACUAUGUUGGAAACUGACUAUUGGUCCAAAGAAAAGGCAUUGAGUUAACCUGUGCCAGUAGCAUUUUGCUUCCUUUUAAAACAAUUACUCACCACUAGAUGGUAGUAUUCCUCUCUUUUGCAACCAGACAUUGAAAGAUUUUGACUACCACUGCAGUGUCUGUGAUUGUGUGUGUGAGAAGGGGGGGGGAGUCCCUAUUUUAAUCAAAGAACUGUUGAAGGGUAUGGAGUUAUGUGACCCCUGAGCCCAGAAGAUAAGUAACUGUACAACUUUUAGAAGACAUCUGAAGGCAACACUGUAUAGGGAAGGUUGCUUGUGUGUGUGUGUGUGUGUGUGUGUGUGCGCGCGCGCGCGCUGAAAUCUGCCCAGAGUGGCUCAGGCAACUCAGUCAGAUGGAAAGGUAUAAAUAAUGAAAUUAUUAUUAGGGAAUAGGAUGUUUCUGUUUUCAUUGGAGAAAUGCUGGAGGGUAUGCAAUCAUGGCUCCCUCAAAGAAUCCUAGGUGCUGCAGUUUGCCCUCAUGGAGCUACAAUUCCCAGAGUGGAUUAGCGAUCAAUCCCUCUUCACAAAGAACUCUGGGAAUCAUAGUGCUGGGAAGGGAACAGGGGCCUCAUACCAACUCUCUACAUCCUUUUACAAACUGCAGCUCCCAGAAUCCUUUUCAGGAAGCCAUUACAGUGGUACCUCAGGUUACAUACACUUCAGGUUACAUACGCUUCAGGUUACAGACUCCGCUAACCCAGAAAUAGUGCUUCAGGUUAAGAACUUUGCUUCAGGAUGAGAACAGAAAUCGUGCUCCAGCGGUGCGGCAGCAGCAGGAGGCCCCAUUAGCUAAAGUGGUGCUUCAGGUUAAGAACAGUUUCAGGUUAAGAACAGACCUCCGGAACGAAUUAAGUACUUAACCCGAGGUACCACUGUACUGUUUAAAAGUGGUAUCAUAGCGCUUUUAAUCUUUGGUGUAAAUGUGGCCAUUGGGAGCCUUUUCCUCCCUGAGUUUCUUAACCUUCCCAAAUAGAGAAGCGUUAGAGGUUAAAGCUGUGUAUGACCGCCACCUUGAUACUCUCAGAAACAGUUUUGCCAAAAAAAAGCUCAACAGCUUUUUUGUUUGGAUUUUCACCAGUUGAAACAUGUCAACCCUACAAAGUGGAUGGCAGUGGGGAGGAAGCUGCCUUUCAAGUCAGCCAGACACAUGGCAGAAGAUCUGAUAUUUUGCCUUUUUUUCCUUGAGAAAAUAGUAUGGGCAAUUGGCAGCAAAAGCAGGGAAGGGGGACGAAUGAAGCACAUGUACUGAUUUCGCACACAAGCCUGGGCUUGCAGUACAAAACUUGCCUUUUGGUGUAGUUUGGUGAUGGAAUCGCCUGAUAUGGAUUGAAGGGGUUGGGUGUGCAGGUGGCUGAUGAGAGGGCCAGCCCAAGACCUUUUGGCCCUUGAGGCAAACUCUACACUACAUAUAUAAAAACAAUUAAAAACCACAACAGAUAUGAAAACAGUAAAAUCACAGAACCGUAGAUUUGGAAGACACCCCAAGGACCAUCCAGUUGAACCCCCUGCAGUGCAGAAAUCAAAACUAAAGAAUCCCUGCAGGUAGCCACCCAACCUUGGUUUAAAAACCUCCAAGGAAGGAGAGUCUACCACCUUCCAAGGGAGCCUGUUUCACUGUCAAACAGCUCUUGCCAUCAGAAAGUUCUUCCUAAUGUCGAGUCGGAAUCUCCUUUCUUGUAAUUUGAGUCUGUUGGUUCAGGUUCUCCCUUCUGAAGCAGCAGAAGACAAGCCUGCUCCAUCUUCCAUGUGACAGCCCUUGAGAUAUUUGAAGGUGACUAUCACAUCUCCCCUUAGUUUCCUCUUCCCCAGGCUAAACAUACCCAGCUCCCUCAACCCUUCCUUAUAAGACUUGUUUCCCAGACCCUUGAUCAUCUUAGUCACCCUCCUCUGCACACCUUCCAGCUUGUCAACAUCCUUCUUCAAUACACGGUAUUCCAGGUGUGUUCUGACCAAGGCAGAAUAGAGUGGGACUAUUACAUCCCUUGAUUGGGACACUAUAUUUCUGUUGGGGCAGCUUAGAAUUGCAUGACUUUUUGUGCUGCUGCAUCAAACUGCUGAAUCUCUAUCUCUAUAUCUCUAUAUCUAUAUCUAUCAUCUCAAAUCCGGUACGGAUAGUGACAUCACCCUGAGCAAAUAAGUUCUGGCUUCCUUGCCUUUGCGGAGCACAUGAUCACGACAUUGAUUUGCUCCUCUGUAGCAAAUGAACAAUUUGGGGCAGUCAGGGCACUGCCCUGUAAACUAGCAUGUGCAAACCACUCACUGAACUGUUUGCACAUAGUAGCGCUCUUGCGCUGCUCCAGGGAAGCUCCCUGCAGACUGAGGCUGCUGUCUCCGGCAGCUGUUUUUGGAGUGUCGUGAAAAGGCAGCCAGUUGUUAGUAAUAAGAACAUAUGAAGAGCCUGGUUGCUGGAUCCGGCCAAAGGCCCAUCCUGUCCAGCUCUCUGUUCUCACAGUGGUGUGUGUACUAGGUGCCAUUUCUGGGGAGUCUGCAAGCAGGACCUGAGUGCAACAGUCUUCUCUCCACCUAUGAUCCCACUGCAACUGGUAUUCAGAGGCAUACUGCCUCCAUCAGUGGAGGCAGAACAUGGCCAUCAUGGCUAAUAGCCACUGGUACUGUGCUACGAUUGCAUUUUUACUAGUCUUGGGCAUUGUGCGCUGUGACUUGGGGGGUGCUGGGGGUGGUAUCCCUCCUCCAUUCACCAUAUCUCCUGCACCAGCCCUGAUGGUUACAUUUAACUAGGGAUGGAGAAGAAAAAUGAUUCAGUUCAUAUUUAAAGAUGGAAUUAUUAUUAUUAUUAUUAUUUUAUUAAUAAUAAUACACCACCUUUCAUCCAAAGAUCUCAGGAUGCUACAUAAAUGCACACUUUCCAAAACAAUAUGCAGACCAAAGCACAGCCAUCCUCUGAAAUUCACACUCUGAAUUUUGCAGCUUUCUUUUUUAUAUAAUAUUUUUUAUUAAUUUUUAGCAUACAAAUUUUUUUAAGACAUACCACACAAAUUAUUAUACAUAUGUCCUUGUUUGGACUUCCCUCAGCAUCUCUGAUAGCAUCUCUGAAUUUUGCAGCUUUCUAGACAAGUCAUACACUUACCAGGGUAAAGUGUGCAUAGAAAUAAAUAGUGAAAAAUCACAUUUCAAAAUGAAUUCUGUUAGAACGGAUUUGCACAAAUGUGUACAUUGGGGGGGCACACAUUCGAAGAUAUGUACAUUAUGGAGAAAACUGCUCUCCAACUCUGAAGAAUUUUCACAGGAACUUCAUUUCUUUAAUUGGAAACUGAUGCGGUGGUGUGGAGAAGUGAAUUUAAGAUUGGAAAGAUGGGGAACUGAGAGAACCCCAAACUGAUGAGUCCUUCCAUCCUUAUUGGUGAAAAAGUCUUGAAUGGAGUUUCGCUGAAUGUGCUUGUGUGGCCCCCCCUCCCCGUCUUCCCCAAGCACAUGACACUGUGCUCAGGAGACAUGUGAUGUGGUAUAUCGAAAACCAGAUGCUUUGGGGUUUCCCUCUUGUCACUAAGGAAACCACCUCAAAGAGCCAGCAGACCAAAAAGAGAAGCCUCUGAGUCACUCAGCCACCCAGAGGAAGGAGCCGGGGAUCAGCUCUUGAGGGCAGGGACUGGGACUGCUUUAUUUUUAAACUCACGGCUGAUUUCCCCAAAAAAAGAGAAACUGAGGGGGGUUUUUUGCAGAGGAAGCAGCCAUGAACAAAGGCUGCUCACUGCUUACGGAGUGCUCAAAAUUACUAGGACCCCUGGACAAAGCCAAACCCCCUUCUAAUAUUUCUGGGGUACACCUCUUGGACCACACAGCGCAACACUAUCUUGUUUGUUUAAUAAAACUUAUAAACUGCUUGAUUGUCCUCUUUUAAAGCCACCAAAAUGGGCAGCCAUCACUGUCUCCUGCAGGAAAGAGUUCCAUAGUUUAACUACAUGCUGCAUAAAAAAAAGAACUUUCUUUUAUCCGUCUACUUCCAGCAUUUAGCUUUCUGGGAUGUCCACCAGUUCCAGCAUUGUGAGAGAGGGAGAAAAGCUUUUCUCUCUUCACUUUCUUCAUGCCAGGCAUAAACUACAGUCAUGUUGCCUCACUUUUAUGAUGAAAAAUAAUUAAAACAAAUAAAACAAUUGGGGAAGUCUAGUGAUGGGAAAUAGGGGGAGAGGGCAUUUCCUCUCACACUGGUAAGGAUCCUAAGAUAGUUAUUCCUUGAUCCCUAGCAUGCAAUUUGCUCUUUUCAUAGCUGCCACGUACUGGGUUGAGGAUUCCACUGAGUUGUCCACGACAAUGAACCCAAGAUCCCUUCUCUGGUCUGACCCCCAGCAGUGCAGAUGCAGAUUCAUGCAGGAUAAAGCUGUCCAUGGCUACUAGGUGUAAUAGCCAUGCUCUGCCUUCACAGUCGGAGGCAGCAGUUGGAAACCACAGGAGGGGGAAUUGUUCCUGUGCACGGAUCCUGCUAGCUGGUUUCCUGCGGGCAUCUGGUUGGCCACUGUGAGAAAAGGAUGCUGGACUAGUUGGGCCAUUGGCCUGAUACCCAGCAGGCUCUGCUUAUGUUCUUACAUUCAUUUGCCAUCCCUUCUCAUUUCUAGGAUCCCUGUAAAGUUUUGGUUUUUUACAGGAUCAUGCCAUUUCAGCAGCAACAAAGCAAGCAAGGAGCCCCAAAAGAUUGGGGCUUCUUCUGUGAUGGAUCCAGCCUGUGUUCCAGCUUGCAUCGGGCCUCCCCGCCCUUUCCUUGGCAGCUAAGAGGGGUAUACUUAGUUUUCGCAGCCAUCGGGCAGGAAAUGGUGCCAACACAAGCCGUUUUGCUGCUUGCCAGCUCACAUCUCCACAUUUCUCUGCCUUGUGCAGCGAUUAGAGAAGCCUGUGGCUGGGAGGAGAGUGGGAUGAAAAAGAGAGAAGGGAAUCUUUUUGCUGGAGGGUGUGAUGAAUGAAUAUCCUUGAUCCAAACACUCUGGAACGUUGUGGGGCAGGUUGGAGGAAGCAAAUGCAAGAUAGCCAACCCUUCAUAGCAGCACUUCGCCCGCCUGGUGCCCUCCAAAAGUUUUGAACUACAACUCCUUUCAGGCCCAGCUGGCAUGGCCAGAUAAUACUGAGGCUGAUGGUGGGUAGAAGGAGCAUUCUGCAACAUGUCAUGGAUGCAAUAAUAAGAGCCGUGUGGUGUAGUGGUUAGAGCGCCAGACUAGGAACUUGGAGACCAAAGUUCACAUUCCUGCUCACCAUGAAGCUCACUGGGUGACCUUGGGGGUCAGUCACUGCCUCUCAGCCUAACCCAAAUACAGUGGUACCUCGGGUUAAGUACUUAAUUCGUUCCAGAGGUCUGUACUUAACCUGAAACUGUUCUUAACCUGAAGCACCACUUUAGCUAAUGGGGCCUCCCACUGCCACUGUGCCGCCGGAGCACAAUUUCUGUUCUCAACCUGAAGCAAAGUUCUUAACCUGAAGCACUAUUUCUGGGUUAGCGAAGUCUGUAACCUGAAGCGUAUGUAACCUGAAGCGUAUGUAACCCGAGGUACCACUGUAGAGAGAAGGAGAAUGGUGUACACGACCUUGAGCUCUUUGGAGAAAAAGUGGGAUAUAAAUGUAAUAAAAUAAUAAACUAAACAAAGAACAAAAAUAAUACUGUGUUGGUGGUGGAUUUGUGGAUGGUGGACCAUCCACACACAUCAUUCUGCUUUAUUUGUUGUUCUAUGAUGCUUCCUGGAUAUUACUACAUUAUGGCCACAAAAGCAGGACUUGCGCACCCUCCCACAACCAAACAUUUUAUUAUUACCCAUCUGGCUGGAUUUCCCUAACCACUCUGGGCGGCUCCCAACAGAAUAUUAAAAACAUGAUAAAACAUCAAACAUUAAAAACUUCCCUAAACAGGCCUCCUUCAGAUGUCUUCUAAAAGUCAGAUAGUUAUUUAUUUCCUUGACAUCUGAUGGGAGGGUGUUCCACAGGGCGGGCGCCACUACCGAAAAGGCCCUCUGCCUGAUUCCCUGUAACCACACUUCUAGCAGGGUGGGAACCACCAGAAGGCCCUUUGCGCUGGACCUCAGUAUCCAGGCUGAACGAUGGGGGUGGAGACGCUCCUUCAGAUAUACAGGACCAAGGCCGUUUAGGGCUUUAACAGUCAGCACAAACACUUUGAAUUGUGGUCAGAAAUGUACUGGGAGCCAAUUUAGGUCUUUUAUGACUGGUAUUACAGUGGUACCUCAGGCUACAGACGCUUCAGGUUACAGACUCCGCUAAACCAGAAAUAGUACCUCGGGUUAAGAACUUUGCUUCAGGAUGAGAACAGAAAUUGUGCGGCGGCAGCAGGAGACCCCAUUAGCUAAAGUGGUACCUCAGGUUAAGAACAGUUUCAGGUUAAGAACGGACCUCCAGAACGAAUUAAGUUCUUAAGCCGAGGUACCACUGUAUAUGGUCUUGGCGGCCACUCCCAGUCACCAGUCUAGCUGCUGCAUUCUGGAUUAGUUGUAGCUUGCGGUAUACAAAGCUCCAGGAUGGGACAUGCACUGACUGGAAAUGAAGCCACAUGGCUGACACCAAACUUCUGUAUUGAAGGCUGGACCACGUCUAACCUCCCUGGUCGUAAAUAAACACAAUAAAUCAAGAAAACAUUUAAAAGGGGUGUCUGGAGCUCCUCCCCCCGGGAUCUUACAGUGUGCACCGUCAUCACCAUACUGAGAAUUUCGGCUUCCACUAAAAACAAAACCAUAAAACGCACACAAAGUGUCUGGUUGUUAUGGCUACAAAUAUAAGCUUGAAAAACAAGGGAGUCCAGAGGGAGGGGCUGAGCAGUAGUUCAACGUCAUGGUGUCCUCAGUCUCCUCCACAGUUUUUCCUGUGGCUUGCAAAAGCUGACUUUGAGAAACUUAAGCAAAUAUAUGCACAUAAUUACAUCGUUUGCAUAGUGUGUGCAGGUUUUAGAAUUCUACUUUUCUUUCUUUCGUACUCCCAUAGUGGAAGAGGUUGAUUAUGUUGUGCCCUGCAGUGAACAAAAGUUUCCAGGAUACAAUUGGAAGGAGAGCCUCCGUUAAACUUUAAACACGGAAGAGUUUCUCCAAACUUGAUCUUUUCUAAAUCUGAGCAGAUACAGCUCUCUCAGGGGUGCUUCAAGAUGGGAGCUUAAUAUUGCAAAUGGGUCACUUGGAUAUUGCAAAUGGGUCAUUGGCAACCAUUUUUUUAACUGAUCGGAUUUCACCCUGGAAAGGGUAAAUCCAGAUUAAAUGGGGGUGGAUAUGUACUGGCA